UACGUAGGGUGCGAGCGUUGUCCGGAAUUUAUUGGGCGUAAAGAGCUUGUAGGCGGUCUGUCGCGUCUGCUGUGAAAGUCCGGGGCUCAACCCCGGAUCGGCCGUGCGGACUGCCGGGCUUGAGCACUGUAGGGGCGGGUGGAACUCCGGGUGUAGCGGUGGAAUGCGUAGAGAUCCGGAAGAACACCGGUGGCGAAGGCGGCCCGCUGGGCAGUGGCUGACGCUGAGGCGCGACAGCGUGGGGGAGCAAACAGG
rnacentral:rRNA from 1 species